AUUCACCAAAGUUGAAAUGAAGGAAAAAAUGUUAAGGGCAGCCAGAGAGAAAGGUCGGGUUACCCUCAAAGGGAAGCCCAUCAGACUAACAGCAUCCCACAGAAAUACAAACUACCAUCAGAGAAUACUACAAACACCUCUACGCAAAUAAACUAGAAAAUCUAGAAGAAAUGGAUAAAUUCCUUGACACAUACACUCUCCCAAGACUAAACCAGGAAGAAGUUGAAUCUCUGAAUAGACCAAUAACAGGAUCUGAAAUUGUGGCAAUAAUCAAUAGCUUAUCAGAACUCAAGUAGAGAAAUAAUAGUGCCAUUUCCAGACUCCUUUAAAUCUCAGCAGUGGAUAUAACUCUGCCUAGGUGAGAGAAACUUGUAUCCCAUCGAGGCGUAGGUAGAAUAAAUAAGAAUAGGCAGCCCUGAGUAGGGUUCUCAGUGAAUACCAGGUAGUCUGGCUAUACCAUCAGAAGGUACUGUAUUGUCUAGCUCUGAUAAAGAAAUAAAAAUGAUACCCUGUAUUGACAUAAACAGAUAUUUCAGAUCGCCAAAGAAUAGUUAAAUAUCCCAAUUUCUAUUAAAUAUACAUAUUGAUCCUUGGCAUAAAACAUAAAUGAUUGCAACCUUCUGAUUUGUUAUAGAGCAGAACAUUAGGUGAAUCUCAAAACAUUGUCAAAAACAUUUCUGUAAGGAGGCCCAUCUUUCAUGGGUAGUACCGUAUCAAGAAAGCCCUGAGCCAAUACUUGUGAAAAAUUAACAAUAGCUUCCAUCAAGAACAGAAUAAGGAGAAAAUGAGUUUUAAAUACAGCAUAACUAGUGUUUUAAAGAUGAUUUACCAAAAGGGGCAAUUUUAAAUUAGAUUUUUCUUUAGAAUGUAGCAUGUAUUCUCUUGCAAAUUAAACUUGUGGGCCUAACUAUGUAUUGUAUCAAGGGAAGGGAACAGAAUUUUCUCUGGGAAGAUUCAGCUUUGGGAAAGUUUCACUUGGAUAAAUUGGGGAGAAAUUAAAAAAACAUGUUUAAUAAGCCAGAUUUGCUAACUUUAACUCUGGAAUCUAAAGAAUGACAGAUGUCACAAUCAGGCAGCAUUCAUAUUCAGCUAGGUAGUUUGUUUAAAUCAGUGGUUCUCAACCUUCUGAUAGCAUAAAAAUUGGCCCAAUUGGACUGAGAAAAAAUUGGCCUUGCCAAAAACCAGACCAAAAUCUUCACCAAAGAACGUAAAUAAACCAUAUUUAGAAUAGGACAAUGGUUAGGUUACAUCUUAACCACAAAAAUGACUAACACCCCUCAUUGCCAGCAACUUUGCCUUUUUGAUGAUCUCUGCUUAUUUAUCAAUGAUAGCACUGCUCUUGGAUGAAGACGAUUGAGGAACCCAAUCACAGAAUUUCCCCAAUUUCUUGAUGUUAUUCAAUCCAGAAACUUUCCCUGCUUCCCUAAUCACUCCUUAAAAUAAUCUACUAAAAUCCCCCCACCCACCACCCUCUGACUCUUACUGAGAAGCCCUCAAUGUUUCCCUGGAGUUUCAGCAAGGUAAGCAGGCCUCGUUGCUUAACUACAGGUGUUUUCUUGGUGGUCUUUAUUUGAUGGGCUUUGAUACUUGGCUGCAUAUUAAAAUCAUCUGGUGAUAAGGUUUGGCUGUGUCCCCACCCAACUCUCAUCUCCAAUUGUAAUCUCCAUAAUCUCUACCUGUCAGGGGAGGAAACUGGUGGGAGGUGAUUGAAUCAUGGGGGUGGUUUUACCCAUGCUGUUCUCUUGAUAGGGAGUGAAUUAUCACGAGAUCUGAUGGUUUAAAGUGUGGCACUUCCACCUUCGGGCGCUCUCUCCUGCUACUUUGUGAAGCAGGUACUUGCUUCUCUUUUGCUGUCCAUCAUGACUGCAAGUUUCCCGAGGCCUCCCCAGCCAUGCAGAACUGUGAGUCAAUUAAACCUCUUUUCUUUAUAAAUUACGCUCUUGGGGAGUUCUUUUUUUUUUAGGAUUUUUAAAUAUAAUAUUAAUUUAUUAGAAAGAAGCUUCUUUGUGAGAAUGAACUAAUACAUCUAGAGAGGUUUUAAAAAUCUUGAUGCUGAGGCUGCUCCUCAGACCAAUUGAAUUAGAAUUUCUAAGGUUUAGAGCUGGGCACCGGAAUUUUUAAAGCUUUUCAGGUGAUUUCAAUGUGGAGUCAAGGUUGAGAACCGCUGGUGUAAAUGAUUAUAUCAGAGGUGGAGGAUGUACCACAUAAAUGCCGAAAGUUACUCGUAGUCUUGUGAUUUUUUUUUUUUUUUUUUGAGACAGAGUCUCUGUUGCCUAGGCGGGAGUGCAGUGGCACCAUCUUGGCUCACUGCAAGCUUCGUCUCCUGGGUUCAUGCCAUUCUUCUGCCUCAGCCUCCCCAGUAGCUGGGACUACAGGAACCCACCACCACGCCCGGCUAAUUUUUUGUAUAUAUUUUUUAGUAGAGACGGGGU
rnacentral:lncRNA from 10 species